rnacentral:lncRNA from 1 species
UGUUAGGAGGGGGAGACACCAGAGCACCAACUUCUCUCACUUAAACCUUAUGACAACCUUAAGAAGUAGGCAGCAUGAUCCCCUUCUUGGAAAUGCAGAAAGAGAGAAUGGGGGAGAUUGAGAGGCUUGCAGAAUGUGACAUCAUUAGGGAGAACAGUGGUUGAGGUCCAGCAGCUCCUGCAGAUGGGUGGUGGUGGAAGGAGGAGAGAAUGGGCCACAGGCAGGCCAAGGGCAAGCUUAGCAGCACUCAACAUCCUCCAUGAACUCAACAGAAGUCAAGAAUGCAGGCAGCUCAUGAUGAAGACCUGCAGCGGCCCAGGUUUACCAAGCUCAUUCACAAUUGCAGUUGGAGAAUUCGUCUUUGGUCAUUUUCUACUUUGGAAAUACGCUGGUAUGUGGCAACGACCUGACUUCAACCAGGAAGACAAGGUUGAUGACCUAAGGAAUAGCACUGUAGCAAAUGGAAGGAUCCCUGAGUGACUGUGUGGAGCAGAGCCCUCCUACCAGCCUGGACUAGCCAACAUAAGAUUAAGAUAUUUUUUACAUAAAGCAUACUGCAUGGGUGUCCUACUGGUGAUGGAAAAAGAAAUGAAAGCAUCUCUCAAAAGGGUCAAACCAAGGCCAGGUUUUAUUUGGUGUUUGAGAAAACCUGGAUUAUUUGGGUCAGGAGAAAAUUUUGGACUUCCUGCUAAUCACAGGAUUUCAACAGCAAGCGUCUUCAAAUCAUGUGUGACAUCCCCUGGCUGAUAAGAGCCUUCCCACCUCAUCUCAAGGAAGGCAACACCUUUCAUAACUACUAGAAUGACUACACUUGCCUCACUAAAUUGUAGUUGUUGAACCACAAACUUGAUUCCUACUUCUGUAAAAAUAAAUCAGAAUUAAAAUGAUUAAGAUAUGGAAUUGAGCCUCCAUGAGGUUUCAGCAGGCAUCCAUAACCUACAGGGUUAUGACAGUCAUAUUUUCUGAAUCCCAAAUCAGGACAUGGGACCAUGGAAAUAGAGAAGACCAUCAAGCAGAACGUUUGACUUCAGUUCUGUCGUGAAGAUUCUGGGUUUUCAAUCCUUCUAACUACAGUACUAGAUGACAAAGAUGAUUUAUUGCACAUUAAGCACUCAUGAGUGCUCUAUUAACCUCAUUCCUUGGAAUGAUUGUUUUAAAACAACUUUCCAUUUUUGCUAUUAAAAUACCUACUACUUGGGAGACUGAGGCAGGAGAAUCACUUG